GUAAUUAUGGCUGCAAGGUUAAGGUGAUGGACUUGAAAUCCAUUGGGCAGUACCUGGGGAGGUUCAAACCCUGCUGACUAUG
rnacentral:tRNA from 1 species